rnacentral:rRNA from 1 species
AUUGAACGCUAGCGGGAUGCCUAAUACAUGCAAGUCGAACGAGUGGCGGACGGGUGAGUAAUGUAGGGGAAGUGCGCAGUAGAGGGGGAUAACUACUGGAAACGGUAGCUAAUACCGCAUACUAUCGGAUAACCCAGAUGGGAUUAGCUAGUAGGUGUGGUAACGGCUCACCUAGGCGACGAUCCCUAGCUGGUCUGAGAGGAUGAGCAGCCACACUGGGACUGAGACACGGCCCAGACUCCUACGGAGGCAGCAGUGGGGAAUAUUGCACAAUGGGCGCAAGCCUGAUGCAGCCAUGCCGCGUGUAUGAAGAAGGCCCUAGGGUUGUAAAGUUCUUUCAGUCUGGAGGCGUUACCUACAGAAGAAGCACCGGCUAACUCCGUGCCAGCAGCCGCGGUAAUUC